GGAAGUAAAAGUCGUAGCAAGGUCUCCGUAGGUGAACCUGCGGAAGGAUCAUUAUUGUAUAACCGAGGUGCGAGGGCUGUCGCUGACCCGAAAGGUCGUGCACGCCCGAGUGCCCUCACACACAUCCAUCUCACCCCUAUGUGCACCACCGCGUGGGUCCCCCUUUGGCUUGUUCGGAGGGGGGCUUACGUUUUCACACAAACUUUGUAUGCAGUGUAGAAUGUAUUUUUUGUUUUUGCGAUCACGCAAUCAAUACAACUUUCAACAACGGAUCUCUUGGCUCUC
rnacentral:misc_RNA from 1 species